AAUAUUGUGCAAUGGGGGAAACCCUGACGCAGCGACGCGGCGUGAGUGAUGAAGGCCUCCGGGUUGUAAAACUCUGUCCUCAGGGGAGAAACAAAUGACGGUACCUGAGGAGGAAGCCCCGGCUAACUACGUGCCAGCAGCCGCGGUAAUACGUAGGGGGCGAGCGUUGUCCGGAAUUAUUGGGCGUAAAGGGUGCGUAGGCGGCCUUUUAAGUCAGAUGUGAAAGACCACAGCUUAACUGUGGGGUUGCAUUUGAAACUGUGAGGCUUGAGUAUCGGAGAGGGUAGUGGAAUUCCAAGUGUAGCGGUGAUAUGCGUAGAUAUUUGGAGGAACACCAGUGGCGAAGGCGACUGCCUGGACGAAAACUGACGCUGAGGCACGAAAGCUAGGGGAGCAAAC
rnacentral:rRNA from 1 species